UACGUAGGGGGCUAGCGUUGUUCGGAAUUAUUGGGCGUAAAGCGCUCGUAGGCGGCUUUGCAAGUUAGAGGUGAAAGCCCGGGGCUCAACUCCGGAAUUGCCUUUAAAACUGCAUCGCUAGAAUUGUGGAGAGGUAAGUGGAAUUCCGAGUGUAGAGGUGAAAUUCGUAGAUAUUCGGAAGAACACCAGUGGCGAAGGCGACUUACUGGACACAUAUCGACGCUGAGGUGCGAAAGCGUGGGGAGCAAACAGG
rnacentral:rRNA from 1 species